ACCACCACCUCCGGCAGUCCGUGCCCGUACAAAAUUCAAUCAAUGCGCUAACGCGCAGGUCUCCUACGACUGUGCAGACUUCGCUCAGCUUUGCAUCCCUCGAUUCUUUCCCUCUUUUUUCACCUCUUAUUUCUGGAUCAACGUGUUCUAAUAUUCGACGAAAGAGAGAUUCUAAACGGUUCGAGCUGUCGCACUUUCCCGAACGAAUGAGGCUUCCGGUUUUCAUCCGGGGCCAAGUUCCUAACAGCUGAGUCAGACAACCUGUCUACGAUACGAGGUUUACGUCGUUCGAGGGUCGAGUAUAGCCUGGGACCAAAGAUCAGGCGAUAGAAGAGAGCCACUUCUAGGUGAUAAGAUGAACCGAUUGCAUGAAAGGGGGAUAGGAUCCUAAGUGAAAAACGAUGGCAAUCAUCGGAGUUUGCGAUUAAAUUAUUGGAGGAAACGGAGAAUUAUUGGUUCCCAGUGAAUCAACACUACGUUCCCAUUACUUUUAUCAGCGCAGGGAUAAUAUUUAUCGAUCACUAUAAUUCAUAGAAACAGGUUAAGCUUACAUAAGAAGAAGAAGAGUGCACCUAUUCACAACGAAGACAUUCGACGCCUUUUUGCACGAAGGUGACCGGCUGAGAUCAACGCCCUCCAACACCACCCGAGUCCCUUUCAGGCACGCACGAUACACCUUCGUAAACCCCCGCUGCGUCGAAAACUUCCCGCUUAUUUGUAACUGAACAGCGAAAACUCUUCAGAAAUUUGCGGACACAUUUAGAAAUCGAGAACUAAUAAUAUAGGAUUACGAAUCAUUGAUGAAAACAGUACGAAGAAGAGAUGCAAUCGAGCAAAGAGAAAAAUGACAUACUUCGUAAGCAAUAAAUAAAUAGAAUUGUUCGGGUUUAUUUAAUCAGUGGUGAACCGUUUAGCCCAAGAGCAUGUAUGUAGAGAGAUGCAGAAAAUAAAUAAUCUAGACGACUGGUCACAUGUACAUCGUCAAGCUCGAUCGAACCACGGUGUAACGUCCGAGCUUUCGGAUUAGUGAAUAAAAAGGCGCGGAUAACAGAAAAUCAGCGGUUGAACCAGGGUACAUGUCGCUUCCGGUGAUCUACUAUCGCGGGCAUACCGAAAUCACGGGACUCCGUGGUCGCAACACACUUUCAUCGGCGUGGCACGUCGUCCUGAUAAAGCACACGAUGAUAAAACACACAGCACUCGC